AUGUUGACUUGGUGGUAAAUGAUCCACAUACGCGUAAUAUAUUCUGGUUAUGAAAAUCUUUAGUGAACCGGAUUAAACCCGGAAUUAAGUUGUGUGUUUAAAACGUUUAAUUAUCUAUAAAAUAGAAAAGGGACACCAAUACUCACCCAGCAAAGUGGUAGUGACUCAGCAUGAUGCUGGAGUCGCACCAGGGUUCGAGUAACGAAAUUGGUACCCCGAGUGAGAAGGAAAAAUUGUUUCCUCUCGACUUCCAUCGAGUGAUGAUGGUUGGCUUCCACUGAGUGUCAAUGGAAGAUGAAUGACAAAGGAGUUUAUUGUGACUCCGUCAUGACCAGACUGCAGUCUGGUGUCCGGGUCUUCCCUGAAGUGAAGAUUCGGGGUCGGGAAUGUUUAUCACAGAGAAUCAUGCCUCUGGUGAUAGCCGAAAUGAGGUAAUCCAAAUUACCUCUUUUUUUAUAAAAGACAGAGAAUCAACUUCUGUUACUACAAACGAGGAACAGAGCAUCACCUUAAUUAUCUGCAAAUUAAAAGACAUUGACUUGUUCUUUGAAUAGUGUGUUUGGCUGAUUCAUUCAAACUUCCCAUCAUACUACUACUAAACCGACUCUGACCAGUGCAAAAAAUACCAGCUUUCCACCAAAAUUCACUAUUUCGUUUCAUAUUAUUCUGAUUUCUGAAUAUAUGCAACUAUAAUAUAUUAUGAGGUUUUUUCAUUCAUUUAUCUUUAUGUAGAAUUAUCUUCUUCUUCUUUUUUUUGACUCUAUG